rnacentral:rRNA from 1 species
CCUACGGGUGGCAGCAGUGAGGAAUAUUGGUCAAUGGACGAGAGUCUGAACCAGCCAAGUAGCGUGAAGGAUGACUGCCCUAUGGGUUGUAAACUUCUUUUAUAUGGGAAUAAAAUGUUCCACGUGUGGGAUUUUGUAUGUACCAUAUGAAUAAGGAUCGGCUAACUCCGUGCCAGCAGCCGCGGUAAUACGGAGGAUCCGAGCGUUAUCCGGAUUUAUUGGGUUUAAAGGGAGCGUAGGUGGAUUGUUAAGUCAGUUGUGAAAGUUUGCGGCUCAACCGUAAAAUUGCAGUUGAAACUGGCAGUCUUGAGUACAGUAGAGGUGGGCGGAAUUCGUGGUGUAGCGGUGAAAUGCUUAGAUAGCACGAAGAGCUCCGAUUGCGAAGGCAGUUCACUGGACUGCAACUGACACUGAGGCUCGAAAGUGUGGGUAUCAAACAGGAUUAGAUACCCCAGUAGUC